GAUGGUCAUGCGUCGCAUUAGCUAGUUGGCGGGGUAACGGCCCACCAAGGCGACGAUGCGUAGGGGUUCUGAGAGGAAGGUCCCCCACACUGGUACUGAGACACGGACCAGACUCCUACGGGAGGCAGCAGUGAGGAAUAUUGGUCAAUGGCCGCAGGGCUGAACCAGCCAAGUCGCGUGAGGGAUGACGGUCCUAUGGAUUGUAAACCUCUUUUGUCAGGGAGCAAAGGACGCCACGUGUGGCGUUUUGCGAGUACCUGAAGAAAAAGCAUCGGCUAACUCCGUGCCAGCAGCCGCGGUAAUACGGAGGAUGCGAGCGUUAUCCGGAUUUAUUGGGUUUAAAGGGUGCGCAGGCGGAAUGUCAAGUCAGCGGUAAAAUUUCGGGGCUCAACCUCGUCGUGCCGUUGAAACUGGCGUUCUUGAGUGAGCGAGAAGUAUGCGGAAUGCGUGGUGUAGCGGUGAAAUGCAUAGAUAUCACGCAGAACUCCGAUUGCGAAGGCAGCAUACCGGCGCUCAACUGACGCUCAUGCACGAAAGCGUGGGUAUCGAACAGGAUUAGAUACCCUGGUAGUCCACGCAGUAAACGAUGAAUACUAACUGUCCGGGCCGAUUGAGGUCUGG
rnacentral:rRNA from 1 species